rnacentral:rRNA from 1 species
AGGAUGAACGCUGGCGGUCUGCUUAACACAUGCAAGUCGAACGGAGUACCUCGGUACUUAGUGGCGGACGGGUGAGUAACGCGUGAGAAUCUGCCCUUAGGUCGGGGACAACCAUUGGAAACGAUGGCUAAUACCGGAUAAGCCGAGAGGUAAAAAGAUUAAUUGCCUAGGGAAGAGCUCGCGUCUGAUUAGCUAGUUGGUGAGGUAAAGGCUCACCAAGGCAUCGAUCAGUAGCUGGUCUGAGAGGAUGAUCAGCCACACUGGGACUGAGACACGGCCCAGACUCCUACGGGAGGCAGCAGUGGGAAUUUUCCGCAAUGGGCGAAAGCCUGACGGAGCAAGACCGCGUGAGGGAGGAAGGCUCUUGGGUUGUAAACUCCUUUCGCUCGUGACGAAGUCUCGUUCGGGGGUGACGGGUAGCGGGAGAAGGAAGCGACCGGCUAACUACGUGCCAGCAGCCGC